rnacentral:rRNA from 1 species
ACUCCUACGGGAGGCAGCAGUGGGGAAUAUUGCACAAUGGGCGCAAGCCUGAUGCAGCCAUGCCGCGUGUAUGAAGAAGGCCUUCGGGUUGUAAAGUACUUUCAGCAGUGAGGAAGGUGGAUAUGUUAAUAGCAUAUUCAUUUGACGUUAGCUGCAGAAGAAGCACCGGCUAACUCCGUGCCAGCAGCCGCGGUAAUACGGAGGGUGCGAGCGUUAAUCGGAAUUACUGGGCGUAAAGCGCAUGCAGGUGGUUUGUUAAGUCAGAUGUGAAAGCCCGGGGCUCAACCUCGGAAUUGCAUUUGAAACUGGCAAACUAGAGUACUGUAGAGGGGGGUAGAAUUUCAGGUGUAGCGGUGAAUGCGUAGAGAUCUGAAGGAAUACCGGUGGCGAAGGCGGCCCCCUGGACAGAUACUGACACUCAGAUGCGAAAGCGUGGGGAGCAAACAGGAUUAGAUCCCCUGGUAGCUCUGC